CCAGAAAUUGCUUCACUUGAGUUUGGGAGAAUAUACGCUACUUAUUUGCUAAAAACACCUAAAAAGCACAAGUCCCCAUAACUCAGCCACUAAUUAAUAUUAAAUUAAAAUCUUCAGAGUGAGUUUGUUUUGGACCAGAAACAAAAGAUUAAGACCAUUUUCACCGACACAAAAAAGGGAAUCUAAAGAGAUUAAGCUUCGGUGACAGUUCUAAAUGAAGGAGGGCACAGCAUGGCUUUUUUUAUGAUGAUGGGAGAUGCAAUCUGCAAGUUCGCCAUGCAGACAAGGAUGUUUUUUAGUCCAAUAGUCGCAGAGUAUUUGUUUUCAAGACAUAUGUUUGGCUUUCUGUCUAAGCAAUACACCCAAGUACUCGAUCUAAAACUUUUUAAAAGUUACUUUGACAAAGUACAUCACCAAGACAGAACAAUCAAUUUUGGACAGCCAAAUUUGUCUGAACCACCAGUAAUGAUUCUUAUGAUAAAUAAUUUUACAUGAAAUUAGUUGUCUUUUGGAGUUCAACUAAGUUUCUGUAGUUUAAACAGCUGAUGUAAAGUGCAAGACCCAAGUUCUGCCCCAAUUACUUACAGCACUUUGAAAAAGUUGCAGACCCUCAAAUGAAUAUUUCACUUGAGCUUGAGUGUACCUCAGAAGAAUGUCCAUGUUGACAAAAUGAACUCUGAAAAGAUGUUAAGCUAUAGGACUUCGACUUACUUUUACAGUGGUGGAACUAAAAGUGGGUUUAAGAUGCAGGUCUUCAUGGUCGCCACAUCUCUGGAAAACCUUUCUUCCUAAAAAACUCAAGGAAAUAAAAAACCCUUGUGGAAAAUGAAAAAUAGUCAGGGAAAUACAGGCCCCAAACUCGCCCCGCCCUGUUAGUAUAGGUCAAAGACGCAUUUUGACGGGUAUUUUGGCCCCCCAAUGACCCAAAUCUUUUGAGAAUAAUGUUUGAUGGAUACCUCUGUGAUGUUUUCUACACAACUGUGCCGUCAUGCUUUUGGAUAUUAUUUUAAAUCAGCAAGUUUUCAUGUUUCAAAAUCCUUCAUACAUUUCUUUUGUACUACUGCUCCAAUAAAAUACCUAUGUUUAAGUUUGAUUUACUCUAUUUUCUUUUAUAAUUGAUAUGUCAUUAAUAAACGAAAUAUAUCUCUUUUCUAUUUUUAGCUAGUCUUUUAUGCUCGGCUGGCAGCUUUAGUUCGUUAAUUGUGUUUAGUCUAUUUGAAGUAAAUCUCAAUUAAACCACUCAUUCAUGGCUUUUGAGUCAAUUGAAAAAACUGGAAUAAUGAAAGCUUGGCAGCAGUUGUAUGCAUUAUUGCUUUUUCAAAGGUUAAACAUUUUCUUUUGUUCUAGUGGCUUUGUUCCGUACAUUUGCUCUGCGUAUUUGAGUAUGGAAGUUUCAGAACCUCUUAGCCGUGAAAAGCAUUCUGUACGGCUUAUCUAUGAAUUCAAAAUGUGAAAUACACAAGUGGUUUAGCAGCUAAUUUAAUUACGCCUUGUGUUUUCAUACCUAUAACACAACGCUUCACUACAUCCAGUUUUAGUCAUUACCCUUUCCCGCACUAACAACGAUUUGAUGUUCAAAGAAAGUUAUUUUUGGUUGGACCCAAUGUUCAAAUGAUCUGUGCUACGAUUUUAUUACAACAUCAUCAAAAGUCCAAUCCAAAAGUGAUUAUUUUAAUUUUGACUUAUUUCUUUUAUGUGUCAAAUUGCUGUACUUCAUGCUUGUGGAGUGGAGUGAUAAUAAAAAAAAAUACAACUGUA